rnacentral:rRNA from 1 species
UAACGUGAGCGUCCUAAGGUAGCGCGAUAAUUUGCUUUUCAAUUGAAGGAUGGUAUGAAAGGGUUAACGAAGAAGGUGCUGUGUCUAAAAAUUCAAUUUAAACUAACUUAAAGGUGAAGAGGCCUUUAUGUAAAAGAAGGACGACAAGACCCUAUGAAGCUUUAUCUUAAUUGGAGCUUUCAGGCUCUUAUACGAUUUUGAUGGGAGAUCAGUAGAAAUAAGUCCUCUACUAUUAUAUUAAUCUUACUAGUAUUUCCUAACUUUAUAUGUGUGACUAGCUACUCUAGGGAUAACAGCGCAAUUUCUCCCGAAAGAUGGUAUUGGAGGGGAAGAUUGCGACCUCGAUGUUGGCUUUAGAUACCCUAGAGGCGUAGAAGCUUCU